GGCUGCAGCUCACUGGACUCCAAAUCUGGUGAUAAAACUGUACUACAAUAUGAUGACGUGAUGAAGCUGGAUUUUGGGACACAUAUAGAUGGGCACAUAGUUGAUUCUGCAUUUACUGUCGCAUUUAAUCCCAUGUUUAAUCCGUUGCUUCAGGCAACGAGAGAUGCCACAAAUACUGGAAUCAAGGUAAUUUCUACGCAUUUUGUUUACUCGUAG
rnacentral:rRNA from 1 species